ACCACAUCCAUCUGAAGCUUGCUUAUGUGGAAGCAGAGCUGGCCAGGCCAAGACAGCUUGAGAGGAGCUUCCCAUGGCCUCAGGGGUGAUGAGCACUGCUUGUUGCAGCUGAGGAGGCUGCAUCAGCAACACCAACCUGGGAAGUGGGGACCUGCCUGGAGCGAUGCGGUGAGGCAUUCUGAAAGGAGCAUUAAUCUUGCCUGGAAGGGCCGACCUGCUGGCAGCCGAUUCAUCAGCAACACUCCCUGGAAGCUGCUGGCCCACACUUUUCGUCAGUGGUGGGUGGCAAGCUUGUAAUUCAGCUGAGUUUCUCCUCGGUGAUGCUAGAAAACCAACAGAAUGCAAGGAGACAGAAGAUCUCUGCGUUUCAUACAAAUACCUCAUUAUAUCUUGUAGCAGAAGUUACUAAAAUCCUUUCUCACCCUUAAUAUCAAAGAACAGGAUAUGCUUACUCACUCCGAGUUAUUGGAACAUGAACUGUGCACUUACAAAUAAAAUUUAAUACCCAGUUUCCUAUGGAGAUACA
rnacentral:lncRNA from 1 species